CCUACGGGUGGCAGCAGUGGGGAAUAUUGGGCAAUGGGCGCAAGCCUGACCCAGCAACGCCGCGUGAAGGAAGAAGGCUUUCGGGUUGUAAACUUCUUUUCUCAGGGACGAAGCAAGUGACGGUACCUGAUGAAUAAGCCACGGCUAACUACGUGCCAGCAGCCGCGGUAAUACGUAGGGGGCAAGCGUUAUCCGGAUUUACUGGGUGUAAAGGGCGGGUAGGCGGGGACGCAAGUCAGAUGUGAAAACCACGGGCUCAACCUGUGGCCUGCAUUGGAAACUGUGUUUCUUGAGUGCUGGAGAGGAGGACGGAAUUCCUAGUGUAGCGGUGAAAUGCGUAGAUAUUAGGAGGAACACCAGUGGCGAAGGCGGUCUGCUGGACAGCAACUGACGCUGAGGCGCGAAAGCGUGGGGAGCAAACAGGAUUAGAUACCCUUGUAGUC
rnacentral:rRNA from 1 species